rnacentral:rRNA from 1 species
GACGAACGCUGGCGGCGUGCUUAACACAUGCAAGUCGAACGGAAAGGCCCUGCUUUUGUGGGGUUCUCGAGUGGCGAACGGGUGAGUAACACGUGAGUAACCUGCCCUUGACUUUGGGAUAACUUCAGGAAACUGGGGCUAAUACCGGAUAGGAGCUCCUGCUGCAUGGUGGGGGUUGGAAAGUUUCGGCGGUUGGGGAUGGACUCGCGGCUUAUCAGCUUGUUGGUGGGGUAGUGGCUUACCAAGGCUUUGACGGGUAGCCGGCCUGAGAGGGUGACCGGCCACAUUGGGACUGAGAUACGGACCAGAAUCCUACGGGAGGCAGCAGUGGGGAAUAUUACACAAUGGGCGGAAGCCUGAGGCAGAGGCGCCGCGUGCGGGAUGACGGGCUUCGGGUUGUAAACCGCUUUCGCCUGUGACGAAGCGUGAGUGACGGUAAUGGGUAAAGAAGCAACGGCUAACUACGUG